UAUUUUAAUAGCUUAUAUUUAAAGUUUAAUAUUGAAGAUAUUAAGAGGACUUUUUGUCUUAAAAUAU
rnacentral:tRNA from 1 species